rnacentral:rRNA from 1 species
GGCUGCACGCGCGCGACACUGAUCUAUUCAACGAGCAGCUGUGUCGAUAGACUUGGCAAAUCUUGUGAAAGUAGAUCGUGAUGGGGAUUGAUGCUUGUAAUUGUUCAUCAUGAACGAGGA